rnacentral:rRNA from 1 species
CACGUAGGCACCAAGCGUUGUCCGGAUUUAUUGGGCGUAAAGAGCUCGUAGGUGGUUUGUCGCGUUGUCCGUGAAAACUCACAGCUCAACUGUGGGCGUGCGGGCGAUACGGGGCAGACUGGAGUACUGCAGGGGAGACUGGAAUUCCUGGUGUAGCGGUGGAAUGCGCAGAUAUCAGGAGGAACACCGGUGGCGAAGGCGGGUCUCUGGGCAGUAACUGACGCUGGAGACGCGAAAGCGUGGGGAGCAAACAGG